rnacentral:rRNA from 1 species
UCCACGCCCUAAACGAUGUAUGCUUGGUGUUGGGAAGCAAUUCUCAGUGCCGGAGGUAACCCGUUAAGCAUACCACCUGGGGAGUACGAUCGCAAGGUUGAAACUCAAAGGAAUUGACGGGGGCCCGCACAAGGCGGUGGAUCAUGUGGUUUAAUUCGAUGCAACGCGAAGAACCUUACCUGGGCUUGAAGUGUAGCGGACAGUAUCUGAAAGGAUACC